rnacentral:rRNA from 1 species
GGCGAACGCUGGCGGCAGGCCUAACACAUGCAAGUCGAACAGACCCUUCGGGGUUAGUGGCGGACGGGUGAGUAACACGUGGGAACGUGCCUUUAGGUUCGGAAUAGCUCCUGGAAACGGGUGGUAAUGCCGAAUGUGCCCUUCGGGGGAAAGAUUUAUCGCCUUUAGAGCGGCCCGCGUCUGAUUAGCUAGUUGGUGAGGUAAUGGCUCACCAAGGCGACGAUCAGUAGCUGGUCUGAGAGGAUGACCAGCCACAUUGGGACUGAGACACGGACCAAACUCCUACGGGAGGCAGCAGUGGGGAAUCUUGCGCAAUGGGCGAAAGCCUGACGCAGCCAUGCCGCAUGGAUGAUGAAGGUCUUAGGAUUGUAAAAUCCUUUCACCGGUGAAGAUAAUGACUGUAGCCGGAGAAGAAGCCCCGGCUAACUUCGUGCCAGCCGCCGCGGUAAGAC